rnacentral:tRNA from 1 species
GGAUAGCUCAGUUGGUUAGAGCGUGGUGCUGAGAACGCCAAGGCUGCAGGUUCGAUCCCUGAAUGGGGACA